rnacentral:rRNA from 1 species
UAGGGAAUCUUCCGCAAUGGGCGAAAGCCUGACGGAGCAACGCCGCGUGAGUGAUGAAGGUCUUCGGAUCGUAAAACUCUGUUAUUAGGGAAGAACAAAUGUGUAAGUAACUAUGCACGUCUUGACGGUACCUAAUCAGAAAGCCACGGCUAACUACGUGCCAGCAGCCGCGGUAAUACGUAGGUGGCAAGCGUUAUCCGGAAUUAUUGGGCGUAAAGCGCGCGUAGGCGGUUUUUUAAGUCUGAUGUGAAAGCCCACGGCUCAACCGUGGAGGGUAAUUGGAAACUGAAAAACUUGAGUGCAGAAGAGGAAAGUGGAAUUCCAUGCGUAGCGGUGAAAUGCGCAGAGAUAUGGAGGAACACCAGUGGCGAAGGCGACUUUCUGGUAUGUAACUGACGCUGAUGUGCGAAAGCGUGGGGAUCAAACAGG